UACGUAGGGUGCGAGCGUUGUCCGGAAUUAUUGGGCGUAAAGGGCUCGUAGGCGGUCUGUCGCGUCGGGAGUGAAAACUCAGGGCUUAACCCUGAGCCUGCUUCCGAUACGGGCAGACUAGAGGUAUGCAGGGGGAGAACGGAAUUCCUGGUGUAGCGGUGAAAUGCGCAGAUAUCUGGAGGACACCGGUGGCGAAGGCGGCAUCCUGGACCGGCAUUGACGCUGAGGAGCGAAAGCCAGGGGAGCAAAGCGGGAUUAAGAUGACCCCUGA
rnacentral:rRNA from 1 species